rnacentral:lncRNA from 1 species
GGCCCCGGGCUGCCGCCAGCCCCCGCCAUCUGCUCACAAUUAUACAUUAACUCAAAGGUCUUGCCACCCGCCAACAAGCUGUGCGCCCCUCUCCGGGGCCAGCCAUGGCCAUUCCAGCCUGUCCCUCGCCCUGAUGUAGAGCCCUGAUCUCCGGCUUCUUCUGCCCUUAGGAGUCCCUGGUAGAAAGGCCCGUGUCUGUAGGGAAGUCUUGUCCUCAGGAAAGGCGGCUGGAGUUCCCCUGCCUUCCUCAAGGGACCAGAGGGCGAGCCAAGCCCGUGCGUAAAGCUGGAGAGGACUGGGCGCGGCCAGCGCAGAGACCCGCUGGCGUUGGUCUGACACCUCGUCUUGGGCUCUUGACACCUGCUGUGGGAGGAUCCCAUCCAGGAGCCCACUUUCCAUUAACCAUCAUGUCUGUGGCUCCUCUUGGCUGUGACAGUUUCUCAGACUUUGCUUGUUUUUGAUGACUUGGACAGUUUUGAGAAGUUAGGUAUUUUGUGGAAUGUCCCUCAACGGGGAUAUAUGCUUUUCUCAUGAUUAGGCUGGGGUUAUGGAUUUGGAAGAAGAAGACUAAAGAGGUAAAGUACCAUUUUCAUCACAUCAUACCUGGGCUUUGGGGUCAACUCCUGAGUCGUCAAAUCAUGUUAAGGGUAUAUACUGUCAACAUGGUGUAUCUAUCACUGUUGAUGGUGACCUUGAGCACCUGGCUAAGGUAGUGUUUUUCAGAUCUGUCCACUAACAUUACAAUGCCUCCCUUUCCUAAUGGUACUUUUCUGAAGGAAGUCAUUGUGCACAACUUAAUGAGUGAGGAGUUAUGCUCCACUUACUUGAGAGUGGAGUGUCUGCAUAAAUCAUUUGGAUUUUUUCCGCUGGAGCAAUCUCUUUUUUUUUCUCCCAUUUAUUUAUAUCAAUAUGGACUUAUUUUAUUCUAAAGAAAUGUGUUUUAUUUUGGGGUGUUAUAAUACAAUACAUUAUUUUGUUGAUCAAAUUAUUCCACCUUUGACAAUUGGGAACCCUUUCAGUUGACUCCUGUGUCCUUUGGCAUGCCCCCAUUAUUGUAGGGUUUGGAUUUUUUUGUUUCUUGAGUUUGGGGUCUUUUGGGGAUUUUUUUUUGUACUUCUUUACUUUCUGCAACUGCAAGAUGCUCCAGGUUAUCUUGUAUAUUCCCUGACCCAGUCCUAGAAUCAACCAUUUCUCCAAGGAGCCCUGGUUCCUUCUAUUGAAGAAUGGUAUGAGAAACCAAGAUCUGGACCCUAGAUAUGCUUGUUGCUACUGGGAUUUUAGUGCUUCUCUGUUCUCUCAGUUGACCGAGCAAAGAAAUAUAUGUGUGUAUACUGACCCAUGUAUAUACACGUAUCUUUAAUAUUUCUAUAUGUAACCACUUGUAUCUAAAUUAAACUAUUCAUGAGUUCAUACUGAUGUCUCCAACUCUAAUCCAUUAUUACAUGGAUCAUUCCGGUUUCCACCCUGCUUAUCUUUAAGCUCUCACUCCAACAGUGAGACACCUGGCUCCCAUAAUCCACCAUCUAUUACUUAAGUGCCCAAUUCCAGCAUCUAUUAUUGCGGCAUCUGAAUUGUUAACACAAACCAUACAGAAAAAUGAAACAACUUUAUCAACUGGAGUACAAUGCUUUUGUACAAUUUAUUUUACCUUAAAUUUACAGACUCUGUUCAUUCCCAAAGUUACUUAAAUCAGUAAAUUUACCCCCACUCCCUUCAAUUAGGUGGUUUCAUAUACCUGUAAUACAGUUAGAUUAUUUUGUCACAUUCUGCAUUCUAUUUUAG